CGGCCUCCCAAAGUGCUGGGGUUACAGGUGUGAGCCACCGCACCUUGCCCCUCUACAAAUAUUUCUUAAGAGAAUCAUCUAUCAUACACUACUGAUCAGAUUCAGCAGGUCUAGGACAGACCCUAAGAUGCUGCAUCAGUAACAAAAGUAUCAAGUGAUUCUGAAGCAUGCCAAAGUUUGUGACCUGUUUUUCAAUAUCACUGCAAAUAAGUUAUCCAUCCUAGGUCUGAAUUCUUCUCUUAACAGGUAACUACUGUCUGAGAUUGUAGCUAGACAGUAAUGUGUUUUAGACAGAUUUUUUUAUAUUGAAGAACUUUUCCAUCCAUUGGUCCUAAUCUGAUCUCAAUGAUUCCACUGAGACCAUUCAGGACAAAUGCCUUUUCAACACAGUAGACUUUAAAGUACUGAAUACAGUCAUCAGUGUGUCAAAUACAGUUUUGAGUGUACUUCCUCUUCUUUUGUCAGUGUUCAAUAUUAGAGACUGAAUAUAUGGAUGGACAAUAAUCAGACCAUAUGACAGUAGACUCUGACCCAUAAUUUCUGCAACAACACAACCAGUCCAGAAAGCCAAGCCACAAAAUCUGCAGCAAUUGUCCCAAAAUGGUCAGGGCUUGAUCACUGACUGCCAUCUUCCCUAAUUUCUGUCCCCACUUCCAACUCAGGACAAACUAGAGAAAGCCAAAUAUACUCCUCAAAACAAUCCCCUAGGGUGCCCCACUUUUAGUUAUUCUGUCUCCAGCCUCUACAUGCCAACACCCUCCAAUGAGGGCACACCUGAACCCUUUUCCCUUUUUUUACCUUAAAGCUUUCCCACUCCUCUGCCUCCCUUUGAGUCUCUGCUAAAUGCAAGUGAUAGUGGGUGACUCCCUUGGUAUAGCAAGCUCUGAAUAAAUAAAUACCUUCAGUUGUUUUCAUUUGGGUGGUCUUUAUUUAUUUCCACAAAUAUUUUUAUUUCCUUCUAUUGCUCCUAGAGAUUUUUUCUUCACCACUCUAUACUCAGUAUCCAGUAUACUGCCUGAAAAAUACUAGAUGCUUAAUACACAUUUGCUGAAUGAAAAAAAAAGGAUGACUAUGCUUAAGCAUCUGAGUUGAAGACUUCUAUGUCCAACCAUCUAUUCAACACUGACAUGUCCAGAGGAUGGCCAGAGGCACCUCAAACUUCACAUGUUCAAAACAGAGCACUAGACUCCCUGCACCACAAACCUGCCUCCACUCCAGUCCAUUCCAUCUCUUUAACUGCUGCCACUGCUACCAGUUGCUCGAGAUAAAAACCCCUCAUGAUCCUAGAUUUGUGUUUCCCUCAAAUCCCACAACAACAGUAAGUCCUACUGGCACCACCUCCAAUAUAUAUCCUAAAUUCUGACUGCUUCUCACCAUAAACAGUGAUAAACCUUGGUCCGAGUCAGCCUUAUUGAUUCUCUCCUAGUUUCCUACCCAAUAUCUAUCCUUCCUUUGUUCCAUACUAACAGAACUUUGAUAUUAUUCAGAGAGGAAAUGCAACCAGCUAAAGAAACAACCACAUUUCCCAGUCUGCCUUGAAACUAGGCAUGGACAUGUAACAAAAUCUGUCCUAUGAAAUAUAAGUGGAAGGUGCCAAAAGGCUAUUUAAAAGAGGGCUGCAGCAGAUAUUGUGGGUACCCUACACAUCCCUGAUGGUGACCACUUAAGGACACAUGCCUGGUUUCCUGUGGACAAAACUUGCAUUCCUUUGCCUCAGUGCCUUCUCUUGCAGCUAGAGUCCUCUUUGCUGCCUCUGUGACAAGUCAGAAGUGACAGAGAAUUAACCCUCCCAGGAGCAACUUUGGUCAAUGACUGUGCGCUAUUGGUGUGUAAAUAUUCACUUUUUACUUGGCUGGGAGAACUCUUGUGGGGUGUGAUUUGUGCUGGGUUCCAGAGCUUCCCCGUCAGGAUUUGACUCAGUCACCCACAGUGGUAGCCGGUAACCUGCCUUCCCUGUUUCACUUCCUAUUCCCAUAUGAAGUAGGCUGAAAAAUUGUCCCCAAAGAUAAUCAGGUCCUAACCCUAUAAACUGUAAAUGUUACUUAAUUUGGAAAAAAGAUCUUCACAUAAGUUAAGAAUCUUGAUAUGGAGAGGUUCACGUAAGUUAAGAAUCUUGAGAUGGCAGUGGGAGAUUUGACACACAGAGAAAAAGAGGAGAUGAGGAUGAAGCCGAGAAAAACCCGAAGAUGCUGGCCUUUAAGAUUGGAGUCCACAAGUCAAGGAAUGCAGGCAGUCACCAGAAGCUUGGAGAGACAAGGAAAAGAUUCUCCCCUAGAGCCUCUAGAGGGGGGCAAUCCUGCCAACACUUUGACUUUGGCCCAUUGAUACUGAUUUUGGGCUUCUGGCCUCUAGAACUGUGAGUGAAUAAAUUUUGGUUUUAAGCUACCAAA